rnacentral:lncRNA from 1 species
AAAUUCCGUCUUCCGAAAUUUGGGUACUCUUUAUAAGCUGGGGUGCAAGUGUUCGUAAAGCCCGGAACCCGCGGACUCGAAACAGCUAACCGGAUCCUUGUCGCCGCGCAAUCACAACAUGUCUAACCAGCUCUGCAAAAUAGACUGUUAGACAGUUGACAUACAGGCCCGAAACAGCAGAACUGUGAAAGACGGUUGACAGAGCCGUGGCACACGUGGAAGCUGCGAUCACCGUACAUCAACCUGUAGCAGUCCAGUGCUAUAAUUGCAGAAGAAAAAUACUUGUCCUAAGGAAUAGACUUGUCCUACGAAGUCCUCUAGGGCAUAUAAUGUCCGGUACAUAUGUUGAUAUCGAUAUACGGGACGGGUGAGGCCUUGGGCAGGUUCCUGCACAAAGGAUGAUCCGCCACAUGUUGUAUCAUGUAAGCUAUCUUGCCAAGCUCGCGGCACUGUUGGCCUAUGCCGGUUGGAGGUUGGAACUAUCGGUUAGACGUUCGAACUGUUCGGUCCUCAUUACCACUGCUGCGCUUAACUUACCACCUGUUUACUGAAUUUGUAUACAGGACUGUUUUAUCCAAUUGUUAUUAAGGUUUGCUGCUUGCGAGGACUGUUGGUCGAGAACGCCAGCUGAAUCCCGCACGAUUGCGGGAGUCCAUAUCUGCAUAUGGGCCGGAGGCUUUAUUAUCUGAGUAAAGCUGGGACCUGUGUCCCUGCUUCAGUUGGUCAUCCGAUUUGACAGGGUUGACCUUCAUGGCAUGGACCUUGUUUAGUAGGCUUGCGGUGGUUAGGAGCCUGUCGCACAGGGCCCCACAUCCCGUUGGGGCACAUGCAGGGAACUCGUUCAAUAGCACUUCUGCCAUUUCAUUUUUGUAAUGUCUUCAGUCGGUCGUGGAACUAUGGUAAUUUCAGGCCCUGCGGGUACAUGCUCAUGUCUGCUCAUGCCCUUGGCGAUUCCAUGGGGUAUGGCGCUGCAUCGAGUCUGCUGCCAAACCCUUAUCUGCUGCCAAACCCUUACAUAUGGCGCCAUACGCAAGACCGCUCCUGCGUCUUCUAUAGCAGCUUCUCCUCAUGACGAAUUGAACGCUCAACUCUUAGCCAUCUUAGCCAGGAUAUUUCGCAAAGCACCAAUCAUCGGAAUUCCGAUUACUUAAGAGCCCGUAAGGACACAGAUAAGGACAGACCAAAUAUUAUAUUACAAAAGGGUUGGACAACGCUGGUGACCGUUCAGGGGGCUGCGUCCGCGGGUAUUAUAUGCGCAUACGGAAACACAACAUGCUGGUAUCGGUCUUAUCAGAUUCACUCUCUGGCCAUAUCGACAUAUUAUCAUCAUCUAGGAAGUCCCGAGCGUCAGAUGUGAUGUGCUCCCUCCACACUCCGUCGCAAUAUCGUUAUGGACGGUUACCUAACAACGAACCAACACAGCUCUCGUUGUCCUUCUAUACAAGACCCAUCACCACCAUCAUCUUCAUCAUCAUCAUCAUCACCAUCAUUAUCAUCACCACCAUUAUCAUCAUCAUCAUCAUCAUCAUCAUCAUCAUCAUCAUCAGCAGCAGCAGCAGCAGCAGCAGCUCGGGUUCAGCAAAAAAGCUGCAAUCAUGAGUACGCGCGGUCAAAGUACUUAGCAGGGCUUUUAGGGUACUCGCAUGGCUAUAGCUUGCAUUCUGCUGCUGGCCUCACGCAGCCAGGCCAGGAAGCAGGAAGAUUCUAGAAUUUCGCCACGUUUGUAACCUACCCUUAUCCCGCACCACGAAAAGUGAAGCGCCUAGCAACACACCGUUAUGGGGCCCAUAAAUGAUGCGGCAGGACAGCAGAUGUAUCGCCAGACGGACUGACUAACUGACUGACAGACGCACAAACCACUCGUCACCCUCACACUCUCGCAUACACGACACACAUACGUACGCACAUACAUUCUCUCCCUCCUCACCCCCCUCUCCUUACGGCCAAAUCGACAUGUACUUCAAUUCCCUCAGUAAUUUCCGGAAGGGGAUUUGAGCAGACGGUUCUCAGGCGGUUUGCUCAUACCUCCUCCGCCUGCCAUCCUUUCCCCCCAUCACCCUCAAGCAGCGCCACUACAACAUAGCGCCCAAGAAGUAGAGGGUUACCCCGCUUACCGGGGCUUCGACGUCCCCAGUUCGAACCACCCCCAUGACGAGGUGGUGAGAAAACAACACGUUUUUCCCGCUCGCCUGUCCUCUCCAUCCAAUCGCCAAACCCGAUCCGCCCGCCCAUCCAUUCAUCCUAGUUUUUUGCAUGCAAGUCCCGCACGCACAAUAUCCGUAAUCAUCCCCUGAACAAAUCCCAAACCCCCAAACCCCCAAACCCCCAACACCACACCCCACCACCCCACCCCACAGGCACAUGUCACACAUACACCAACAACAGGGUAGGGGGAGGUUAUUAACACAAACCAACAACACCUCCCGUCCGAAGGCCACUACCGUCCCCCUCCCCCUUCCAUCUUACCGUGAUGUGCCACACGGUGCACCCCUAACAGCCUCUAACAGCCCCUAGCCCAUCUCCCCUCCCCCGCGGCCCCCAUACACACCUCCCCUCUUCCUCCUCCUCCCAACCUCCCGCAAUACCAGAAAACAUAAAAACCCUAGUUAUUUGCUCGGAAAGCAAACCUUGCUCGCUCGAUACUUUUAAACGUGUUGCACCACCUAUUUAAUUGUGUUUUUCCCUUUUUGGAGUAUUGCCCGGAUUUUCGGUUUCGUCGCCUGGUCGAAUUCGAAUCCGCUUCCUUUACCUAUCUUCCUCUCCAACCCGACAUGGAACUGCAUUGCCCCACGGUUCCCCUUCACUCCCCCCUCCUCCUCACUCCCCCUCCUCACUCCUCACUCCCCCUCCUCACUCCUCACUCCCCCCCUCCUCCUCAUUGUCUCCCCUCCUCACUCCCCUCCUCACUCCCCAUCCGUGGCCGACUUGUACACCUGCGCCACCACAUCCGCUGCGGCUCCCCCGCCCCGCAUCGUCUCCUCCACAAGGGACCGGAAAUGCGACUGCGGGUUUCGGAGCAGCUGGGCGGGGGACCCGAACUCCCCCAGCUGCCCUCCCUCGAGCAACAGAAUGCGGUCGCUGUCCACUAUUGUGUGCAGCCGGUGGGCAAUGGUGAGAACCGUAC